GGGAGGUUGGUGACGAAGCGGGAGAAAUUGGAGGGGACACCUGAGAUGAGAUCAGUGUAGACAAGGCCAAUACCAGGGACACGGACGAUGCCAAGGUUAUCGCCAAGGGCAAGGAGCCAGUCUAUGGAGACCUUGUUCUGGAGAUCAAACUCGUACUUCUUGAUGGUUGCGUAGUGCCAGACGAACAUGAUGAUCAUGAGGAAAAGGGAGAGGAGGAUCGGGAGCCAGGCGCCUUCGAGGAAUUUUAUGAGGGAGGCGGAGAAGUAGAGGGCUUCAAUCGAGCCGAAGAAGAGGAGGAAGGCGAGAGCAAGUAUUGGGGGCUUGCGCCAGCAGAGGAUCAUGACCAAGGAAGUGAGGCA
rnacentral:misc_RNA from 1 species